UCAUAUUUCAUUUCAAGUCGAUUACUGCAAUCCUAGUCCAUGUGAAGGUCAUCAAGCCUGUAACAGGAUACAUAGAGGUUUUACAUGUAGUUGUGAUGCUGGAAAUACAGGAAAAACUUGUGACGUUAAUAUUUGUGACGUGUGUGCAGGUGUUAAUUGUGAUUGGCCAGUGGGAUGAUCUUGAGGAGUUUGGCAGAGUGAAUGCCAUGGUGGACAUCGCUAUUCUGAUUGCUAAAUCACAAUCUGAUUAAAAUACACAUCUAUCUUUCGUGUCUUUUUUUUAUACUUUCGAUAGCCUUCACUUUUUUGAGUAAGGACAAGUAAAACGAAAUUUUGAACAAUAAAAAACGAAACGCAAUAGGAUCUGUGUUUUAAUCAGAUUGGUUAAAUCUAUGGGAAAAUCACUUUUUCUGUCCUGGUUCUAAUGGAGAAAUCACUUCGUCAUACUGGUUCUGAUUCUAUAUGGAGAAGUCACUCGCUAUUCGUGUUGUUAUGAAAUCCUUUUUCUGUUUCGGUUCUAAUAUAUGGAGAAAUCACUUCGCCAUACUUAUUCUUAUUGUUAUUGUUAUGGAGACGUUCCUCACUAUUCGGGUUGUUAUAUUUGGAGACAACACCUCGCUAUUCGGGUUCUUGUUACUUUUAAACGUUAUUGUUUAGUUUGAU